GGGGGCCUUCCGUGAGGACGGCGCGCAACAUGGCGGCGCCCAGGCCGAGCGCGGGACCGGGUGAGGGAACGGGGAACGGGAGCGGGAGCGGGAAUGGGAAUGGGAACGGGAAUGGGAAUGGGAAUGGGAAUGGGAAUGGGAAUGGGAAUGGGAAUGGGAACGUGAACCGGGAGCGGGAACGGGAACGGGAACGAGAACCGGGACCGGGAACGGGAGCGGGACUGGGAACAGGAAACGGGAACAGGAACGGGAGCGGGAACGGGAACCGGAACGGGACUGGGAGCGGGAACGGGAACCGGGAACGGGAAUAGGAACGGGCCCGAGCAGCCUCCCCGUCCCCUCAGGGCCGCCGCCGGUCCCGGGCGGGCGGAGCCGGGAUCGCCCGGGAAUGGCGGAGAGACCGGGACGGGCUCGGGCUGCCGGGGCCCGGAGCAGGUCACCAGAUCCCAUCGAGGACGUGCUCGGGGAGCUCCUGGGAUCUGAUGGUAAAGGGAGAGCUCCCAGCGGGGUCACCUGGGGGAUCACCUGGGAACCCCUGGGGUCACCUGGAAGGGUCACCUGGGGAUCACCUGGGCACCCCUGGGGUCACCUGGGGGGUGCCCCGCCCUCCCCAUUCCCACCUGGCUCCGGCUCCAUCCCUGACCCCUCCCUUGUUUCCAGAGGAGGUCCCAGCUCCGCCCUCCCGAGGUUCCCGCACCUCCUUCCCGCAGGUGAGCCCAGGUGAGCUCCAGGUGAGCUCCAGGUGAACUCCAGGUGCCCCCUCCCCCAUCCCGGGCAGGUGUGCCCACCUGGGAGCACCUGGGGCCCCUCCCCACCCCCUCACCUGUGCCUGGAGGGAGCUGGGAUCGGGAUUGUGGAGGGAAAAUCCCAAAAAAUUGGAAAUUCCCAAAGAAAGGGAGAUGCCCAUCAGGAAAUGGGAAAUUGUCAACAGAGGAUGGGGAGUUCUGAAAAAAUGGGAAAUUCCCAAUGGGGAACAGGAAAUUCCCAAAGAACAGCGAAUGGGAAAUUCCCAAAAAACUGAAAAUUCUCAAAGAACAGGAAAUUCCCAGCGGGGAAUGGGAAAUUCCCAGUGGGGAACGCGGAAGGGGUGAAGGUGGGCGGGGCAGAAUUCCCAAAGGAUUUGGGAUCCCACCUGGGCUGCAGGUGAGGGCAGCAGCUGCCCCCUCCAGGAGCCAGAUCACCGGGAUCCCGUGGAUCACCUGGAUCCUGUGGAUCACCUGGAUCCUGUGGAUCACCUGGAUGAGCUGGACGCGCUGGAUGCAGAAAUCCUGGGAAUGGGCAGAGGCGGGUCCAGGCCGGGGAAACGCAGGAAGGGGCCGGGUCCCCAAACAGCCCCGCCCCGUCCCGAUGUCACCUUUGGGGACAACGUCGAUGACCUGAUGGAUUCCCU
rnacentral:lncRNA from 1 species